GAUGAACGCUGGCGGCGUGCCUAAUGCAUGCAAGUCGAGCGAACGGACGAGAAGCUUGCUUCUCUGAUGUUAGCGGCGGACGGGUGAGUAACACGUGGAUAACCUACCUAUAAGACUGGGAUAACUUCGGGAAACCGGAGCUAAUACCGGAUAAUAUUUUGAACCGCAUGGUUCAAAAGUGAAAGACGGUCUUGCUGUCACUUAUAGAUGGAUCCGCGCUGCAUUAGCUAGUUGGUAAGGUAACGGCUUACCAAGGCAACGAUGCAUAGCCGACCUGAGAGGGUGAUCGGCCACACUGGAACUGAGACACGGUCCAGACUCCUACGAGAGGCAGCAGUAGGGAAUCUUCCGCAAUGGGCGAAAGCCUGACGGAGCAACGCCGCGUGAGUGAUGAAGGUCUUCGGAUCGUAAAACUCUGUUAUUAGGGAAGAACAUAUGUGUAAGUAACUGUGCACAUCUUGACGGUACCUAAUCAGAAAGCCACGGCUAACUACGUG
rnacentral:rRNA from 1 species